UGGAAGAUGGGUAGAGGCGGCGUCAAGAAGGAGGUAGAGUUGUGAAUCAAGAUGCUAUGGCGUCAAUGGAUCUCAUGCGGUGCGGAGAAGAAACAAGGACAAUAAUUGUGAUCGGACGAACUCCAUCAUCGAGCAGAACCGGGGCGAGCUCUAGCCCUACCCACCUGCGUCCAGCGCAGGAAAUGUCAUCAUCGGACGACGAAAGUCUCUCGGGGGAGUG